AGUGAACGCUGGCGGCAGGCCUAAUACAUGCAAGUCGAACGGCAGCACAGCAGAGCUUGCUCUGUGGGUGGCGAGUGGCGGACGGGUGAGGAAUACGUGGGAAUCUGCCCAGUCGUGGGGGAUAACGUAGGGAAACUUACGCUAAUACCGCAUGCGCCCUUCGGGGGAAAGCCGGGGGACCUUCGGGCCUGGCGCGAUUGGAUGAGCCCACGUCGGAUUAGCUAGUUGGCGGGGUAAAGGCCCACCAAGGCGACGAUCCGUAGCUGGUCUGAGAGGAUGAUCAGCCACACUGGAACUGAGACACGGUCCAGACUCCUACGGGAGGCAGCAGUAGGGAAUAUUGGACAAUGGGCGCAAGCCUGAUCCAGCCAUGCCGCGUGAGUGAAGAAGGCCCU
rnacentral:rRNA from 1 species